rnacentral:rRNA from 1 species
GACGAACGCUGGCGGCGUGCUUAACACAUGCAAGUCGAACGGAAAGGCCCUGCUUUUGCGGGGUGCACGAGAGGCGAACGGGUGAGUAACACGUGAGUAACCUGCACCUGACUUUGGGAUAACUUCUGGAAACUCGGGCUAAUACCGGAUAGGAGCUCCUGCUGCAUGGGGGGGGUUGGAAAGAUUCGGCGGUUGGGGAUGGACUAGAGGCUUAUCAGCUUGUUGGUGGGGUAGUGGCUUACCAAGGCUUUGACGGGUAGCCGACCUGAGAGGGUGACCGGCCUCCUUGGGCCUACGAGACGGCCCAGUCUCCUACGUGAGGCAGCAGUGGGGAACAUUGCACAGUGGGCGGAAGCCAGAUGCAGCAGCCCUGCGUGCGUGAUGACGGCCUUCGGGUUGUAAACCGCUUUCUCCUGUGACGAAGCGUGAUUGACGGUAAUUAGUAAGGAAGCACCGGCUAACUACGUG